CCCCAUUGAAAUUCAAGCACUUUUUUUGUGGAAGCAGUAUAGCUUUUUUCUGUGAUACUAUAUAUUAUUAAUACAAAAAUUUCUAACUCACUCCCUAUCAACAACRAAAAUCAUAACAAUAAAACAAUUAUUUUUUAGUACCUUGAAAGACGAUUUUCCAGAAGUGUUAAAGUUCUGGCAUCUUUAAUAUUCAUCAUUCAAACGCUUUUAUACAUGGCUAUUGUUUUGUAUGGGCCUGCACUCACAUUAGAAUCUGUUACUGGGUUUCCUUUGUGGAUAGCUAUUCUAUCUAUUGGUUUGAUAUGUACCUUUUACACAACACUGGGUGGCAUGAAGGCGGUCAUCUGGACGGAUGUAUUCCAGGGUAUAGUCAUGUUGAUUGGUCUGUUUGUUAUCA